rnacentral:misc_RNA from 1 species
UCCGGUUUGUCACCGGCAGUCUGGUGUGAGUCCCCGCCAUAACGCGCUGGCAACAUAGAACGAGGGUUGCGCUCGUCGCGGGACUUAACCCAACAUCUCACGACACGAGCUGACGACAACCAUGCACCACCUGUGCAGGGCCCUUGCGGACCUCCCAUCUCUGGGAGAUUUCCCUGCAUGUCAAGCCUUGGUAAGGUUCUUCGCGUUGCGUCGAAUUAAGCCACAUGCUCCGCUGCUUGUGCGGGCCCCCGUCAAUUCCUUUGAGUUUUAGCCUUGCGGCCGUACUCCCCAGGCGGGGUGCUUAAUGCGUUAGCUGCGGCACAGACGGCGUGGAAUACCGCCUACACCUAGCACCCACCGUUUACGGCGUGGACUAC